rnacentral:misc_RNA from 1 species
AAUUUCAGUUCCAUUUUCAGGAAUAUGUCUUCAUCAGUAGUGCAAUUUACUGCUUCACAGCAAAACAACAGUGAUGAUGGAAAUGAACGGCUUGAUUCUGAUCAGCAUCUUCAUCCGGCGGUUCACAGUGUCCCUCACACUUCUGAAACUUUUCUGCAAGCUGCAAUCUCUCUCAAAGAUCAGGUAGUAGAAAUGACAUGGAAAGAGAACGGAAGGAGUGCCAGCAGUGUCACAGAUCCAACGAUGUAUACAGGUUUGCUAGGGACGGCGUUUACCUGUUUGAGGUCGUACGAGUCCACCGGUGAUCGGAAGGACUUGGAAUUGUGCUCGGAGAUAGUUGACUCGUGUGCCGACCUUGCACGCACAUUCACGAGACAUGUGACUUUUCUGUGUGGAAGAGGAGGGGUCUAUGCACUUGGUGCUGUUGCUGCCAGCUAUUGUGGGGACCAACACAAACGUGAC